UACAGAGGUCUCAAGCGUUGUUCGGAUUCAUUGGGCGUAAAGGGUGCGUAGGUGGCGCUGUAAGUCGGGUGUGAAAUUUCGGAGCUUAACUCCGAAACUGCAUUCGAUACUGCGGUGCUUGAGGACUGGAGAGGAGACUGGAAUUUAUGGUGUAGCAGUGAAAUGCGUAGAGAUCAUAAGGAAGACCAGUGGCGAAGGCGGGUCGUCUGGACAGUUCCUGACACUGAGGCACGAAGGCCAGGGGAGCAAACGGG
rnacentral:rRNA from 1 species